UAAAAAUAUGAGUCGAUUUAAUUUUCGUAAUCGAACCGGUCUACCGUUCUUAUAAAACCAACCUAAACCGAACCGGUUCUUUUUCCACGGUAAUCGACGCAGAGAUGUAUGGGUGGCGAAUCACUGAGUAUCUAAACCGCUUCUGCGACGCCGUUUCAUACGAAGACUCUUCUAUGCUUUGUCGCCUCCUCUCUUUCUCUUCCAGGACUGAAUCUUCCUUGAGUAUAUUGAUACUGCUCGGAUAUGGAGUUUGCGAGAAGAGACAAUGUCCUGUGCAGUUUUAGUUUCUGGCCUCCGGAUUUUCAUUAUACAUUUAUUUUGUGUUUUUUUUUUAUAUAAUUCACAAACUAUGCAGGUUACAUACAUGUGUCAUACUGGAAGAUUUGAAGUCUUCAACGAGAAUUUUCCUGCUGGAUGAUAUUGAAGUAUUUAAUACCAGUGAAACUUUCUUUAGGAAUCUUACCAAACGAUAAACUGCUGCCAAAGUAUAAUCUUCAUGAGUACAUGAAUGUUGUGCAAGCUCCGAGAAAGGGUGAUCUCAGGCUUCGUCAACAUAGCUCUUCAAGAACAAGAAGAUCGGUUCUUGAGGUCCGGUGUCUUGGAAAAGCUGGAGCUCCAAGUCUACCAGGGACUCAUGAAGAAAAUCUGAGUGAUCCAGCGAGAGGUCACCAACUGAAGCUUGAAGUGAUUGCCAGUUGAACAAAAAAAAAAAAAAAGUGAUUGCCAAAGCACUUAGAUGGCUAGAGAUAGAUAUGGAUCUCGACGUUAUGCCAGUCCGUAUUAAUCAUGGAAUAGAGAAGGUUUGAAGAGAGAAUAGUCCAAAUUGAAUAAGAGUAGGGACAAGUAAAACAUAGGUGAUCUCUGGUCUCAUUAAACUCUUUGCAGAAUAGAAAGUGAUGAAUCACUCUCCAGUUCCUGCUCCAUAUCACCGUGUAGAGACAGUCACGAAAGGCUAAUCAAGAAAUAAAAAGCUUAUCGCGGAACAGUUUGGGGAACCUCACUAUAUACGAACCAUUCAACCAGUGUCAAGAAAAUUUAUAUUAAAAAAAAAAACAAAGCUAUGUAUUUUGUGGAUCAACUAUUAUGAACCAUCAAUGCCGAUAUAUUUUGAAAAAAAAAAACCAAAA